GACGGAGGAGGCAAGCGUUAUCCGGAAUUAUUGGGCGUAAAGCGUCCGCAGGUGGCUCUUCAAGUCUGCUGUUAAAGCCCAGGGCUCAACCCUGGAGAAGCAGUGGAAACUGUGGGGCUAGAGUGCGGUAGGGGCAGAGGGAAUUCCCGGUGUAGCGGUGAAAUGCGUAGAGAUCGGGAAGAACACCAGUGGCGAAAGCGCUCUGCUGGACCGCAACUGACACUGAGGGACGAAAGCUAGGGGAGCGAAUGGGAUUAGAUACCCCAGUAGUCCUAGCCGUAAACGAUGGACACUAGGUGUUGCGCGUAUCGACCCGUGCAGUGCCGUAGCCAACGCGUUAAGUGUCCCGCCUGGGGAGU
rnacentral:rRNA from 1 species